GGGGAUAUAGCUCAAGUGGUAGAGUGUAUGCUUAGCAUGCACAAAGUCCUGGGUUCAAUCCUCAGGACCUCUG
rnacentral:tRNA from 1 species